rnacentral:rRNA from 1 species
AUUGAACGCUGGCGGCAUGCCUUACACAUGCAAGUCGAACGGUAACAGGUUAAGCUGACGAGUUGCUAACGGGUGAGUCAUGUAUCGGAACGUGCCCAGUCGUGGGCGAUAACUUCUCGAAAGAGCAGCUAAUACCGCAUACGACCUGAGGGUGAAAGCGGGGGAUCGCAAGACCUCGCGCGAUUGCAGCGGCCGAUAUCGGAUUAGGUAGUUGGUGAGGUAAAGGCUCACCAAGCCGACGAUCUGUAGCUGGCCUGAGAGGACGACCAGCCACACUGGGACUGAGACACGGCCCAGACUCCUACGGGAGGCAGCAGUGGGGAAUGUUGGACAAUGGGCGCAAGCCUGAUCCAGCCAUGCCGCGUGCGGGAAGAAGGCCUUCGGGUUGUAAAGCGCUUUUGUCAGGGAAGAAAAGGUUCUGGCUAAUACCUGGGACUCAUGACGGUACCUGAAGAAUAAGCACCGGCUAACUACGUG